UAUGCAAGGUAUUAGUGUCCGGCACCACGCCUCGCAGAAUGCCCUAAGUACAUGGGGAUUCCUAUCAUAUGUGAAAAGUGAAGCAUAUAAGGCAUCAAACAAGUAAUUUUCACGAAACACUUGUUUGCUCCUGCCGAGAAUAUCUCCAACUACUCCCAAAAACUCUCGAUGUAACUGAAUGCACCAUUAAGUCUCAAGGAAGGACCCCAGUGUGCAUCUCCGUCUAUGAUCCGCCUGCCAAGGGUUUGAAAGGGAGUUGUCCUUGGCUCCUUACUGUGAAUAAGGGAACUCAAGGAGUGGACUUUCGUGCCGUCAUCUUGAGAAUGUUCAAGUGACCAGUCCUUCAAUUCUGGGUACUGGUGAGAAGGCCACUUACCCGAGUAAGAUCCUUGUAUAGGGAUAUGCACCAGUAAUUUCGUUCCUUUGUCAUCAGAGUCGUCAUGACUAUUGGCGAUAAGGAGGUACCUUUCGUUUGAAGUGAUUACUUCCUUGAAUAUUGCCAU
rnacentral:lncRNA from 1 species